rnacentral:rRNA from 1 species
GACGAACGCUGGCGGCGUGCUUAACACAUGCAAGUCGAACGAUGAAGCCGGAGCUUGCUCUGGUGAAUUAGUGGCGAACGGGUGAGUAACACGUGAGUAACCUGCCCUUGGCUCUGGGAUAACUGCUAGAAAUGGUAGCUAAUACCGGAUACGACCCUCGGCGGCAUCGCCAGGGGGUGGAAAGAAUUUCGGUGAAGGAUGGACUCGCGGCCUAUCAGCUCGUUGGUUAGGUAACGGCUCACCAAGGCGACGACGGGUAGCCGGCCUGAGAGGGUGACCGGCCACACGGGGACUGAGACACGGCCCAGACUCCUACGGGAGGCAGCAGUGGGGAAUAUUGCACAAUGGGCGCAAGCCUGAUGCAGCAACGCCGCGUGAGGGAUGACGGCCUUCGGGUUGUAAACCUCUUUUAGUAGGGAAGAAGCGAAAGUGACGGUACCUGCAGAAAAAGCACCGGCUAACUACGUGCCAGCCGCCGCAGUAA